GCAACUUAGUCAUUUUGAUAUCGUUAGCUGAGACGCUAGUUGAUGUCGUCUUCACGCAGCAGGCACGUAAUGAUAAAAUAGUCAACAUCCGAUUCAGGAGCGGGCAUGGCUUUUUGCAAUGUGGAAUCUGACGCCAAACCGGUGCUGCCUGGCAUUUUCCAAGAGGUCACAGCCAUGACUCCAUUGAGAGAUGGGAUGAGACUUCGGGCCCUGACGAUAUAUCGGAAGCGUCCCAGGAGAUAACAGACGAUUCUUCAACCUUAUCAGACGGCCCUGAUGAAUUGUUGGACAUCAGAUUUAGAAUAUGUUGACAAAGAAGGAGAGUUACCUGAAACUUCACAAGCUGUGAGAGGAAAAGCAUCUUCAAAGUCACUGCUGCCAGAGAAACAGUCACCUCAUGGCGAAAUAUUUUUAAUUGCACUAUUGGGCCCAAUCGAAGUGUCUAACCACAGAAACACAGGCUUGGUGGAUGAGUCUGGUGACAGCUUAGACGACGAGCCAUUGGUUAAGAUGAUCAGGAAGCCUCCAACUGACUGCCAGCUGAGCGAGAGAGAAACACUGCUGAAAUACACAGACCUGGCGGAUGUGCAAAUCUACAAUAGAGUGUUUGAGAUAUGCCCCCGGUAUGACCUGUCUAACAAGAAGGACAUCAUCAAGCAGACAGUGAAAGAGGGGAUUUCUUUACAACCCAGGGUUUUAAUCAAGCCAUAUUCAUAGCUUUGACAGAUAACAUUAUAAUCAAUGAUCUCAGGAAAACAUAGUUGAUAUCGUGACAAAGACUCUGGGAUUCCUGUAUAUGCCUUUCCAGGACUUUUCAUUUAUAUUUUUUACAUACAUGUUCAGACUGUUUAAAUACUAUACAAUUUCAUACAAUUUAUUUGUUUUACUUGCCUAAGUUUGUAAAUAAAAUAUUUAUUGUACUGCA